CAAUACUGAACAACAGUGUGUUGGUAGUGCAUUAUAUGGCCGUUUUUUUUUUCUUUGGUGCCUUUUAAAUCCUACUUUUAAUAUUAGAUAAAAAUGGGUCUUUUAUGGAGUGCAUAUGUUACACAUCCCGAUACAAUGCCAGAAGCAGAAACUGCACCGAAAUUUAAUUCGUUGUACGGAUUUGAAAAUGGUCGAAAAGAAAGAGUUAUGGUAGCCACAGAGACAGAAAUGAGGGCAGCGAAAUUACCAAAAAGAUAUAGAGAUUAUUGUGCGCAUAAACUUCUUGAAUUGGAAGACUGUAAAAAAUAUAAUUUUCCUAUGAUAAGAAGAUGCGGUCAUCAAAUGCAUGAAUGGGAGAAAUGCCAAUACGAAGAUUAUGUCAUGCGAAUGAAGGAGUUUGAAAGAGAACGCAGGCUUUUAGAAAGACAGAAGAGAAAGCAACAAGCAGCCGCUGCUUGAACAAACUGCCUCGUAGAUCUAUAGGAAUUUUAAACAUUAAUUGCUCGCAAUUUAGAAUUUGCAAUUUUAUCAUUACAGCAGUCGUGGACGACGUUUAGUAGCAGUUAUAAAAUAAAAAGGAUACGCGCGAGCGAAAAUUGGAAAGAUGUGAUAUUGUAAUUGGCAUUAAAAAUAAUAAGGAAAUACAUAUUUACUAAACAUUUUGCU
rnacentral:misc_RNA from 1 species